GCCAAACAGCUAGCUUAAUCACCUAAACAAUUUACACAACAUUAAAAUAUUUCAUACAACCCCAACAAACCAAACCAAAACAUUUUACCGCCCUAGUAUGUGAGACAAAAAAGGCACACCUUACUUAAAGCUAUAGUAAAAGUACCGCAAGGGAACGCUGAAAGAGAAAUGAAAUAAAUCAUCCAAGCACAACAAAGCAGAGAUUUAAUCUCGUACCUUUUGCAUCAUGAUUUAGCUAAUCCCUCUGAGCAAAGAGAACUUUAGUUCAAGCCCCCGAAACUAAGUGAGCUACCCCGGGACAGCCAACAAAUUAUUGGGCCAACCCGUCUCUGUGGCAAAAGAGUGGGAAGAUCCCCGGGUAGAGGUGACAGACCUACCGAACUUAGUUAUAGCUGGUUGCCUAGGAAAUGAAUAGAAGUUCAGCCUCGUGCCCCUCAACUCAUAUAUUCAAUACGAGUAAGAGAAAUCCCCGAGAGUUAGUCAUAGGGGGUACAGCCCCUAUGAAACAGAAUACAAUCUCCACAGGAGGUUACAGAUUAUACUAAACAAGAUAACGCGCUCUAGUGGGCCUAAAAGCAGCCACCUUAACAGAAAGCGUUAAAGCUCCGGCAGCACAAAAAUCUAUUAUCCAAAUAUUAUAUCUAAAACCCCUAAAAAUACUAGGCUAUCCCAUGUAAACAUGGGAGAAAUGCUGCUAAAAUGAGUAAUAAGAAGUAAAUAUACUUCUCCGGGGCCUAUGUGUAUGCCAGAUCGGACCCACCACUGGCAAUUAUCGAACCCAACAAAAGAGGGCAUUAUGAACACUAAAUUAACAAGAAAUUAUCAUACGACCCAAUCGUUAACCCCACACCGGAAGGCCACCUUUAAAGGAAAGACUAAAAGAAAAGGAAGGAACUCGGCAAACACAAGCCUCGCCUGUUUACCAAAAACAUCGCCUCCUGCAAAACUCAAAGUAUAGGAGGUCUUACCUGCCCAGUGACAAGUUAAACGGCCGCGGUAUUUUGACCGUGCAAAGGUAGCGCAAUCACUUGUCUUUUAAAUGAAGACCUGUAUGAAUGGUGGAACGAGGGCUUAACUGUCUCCCCUUUCAAGUCAAUGAAGUUGAUCUGCCCGUGCAGAAGCGGACAUAUAAAUACAAGACGAGAAGACCCUUUGGAGCUUAAGACCCAAGAUCAACUAUGUCAAUACAAUAAACGUUGAAUCAAACUAAAUAGUAUCUGAUCCUCGUCUUCGGUUGGGGCGACCACGGAAGAAAACAAAGCUUCCAUGAGGACUGAAGCCACAGGCUUUAAAACCAAGAAAGACAUUUCUAAGUAGCAGAAUAUCUGACCAUUAAGAUCCGGCAAUCAAGCCGAUCAACGAACCAAGUUACCCUAGGGAUAACAGCGCAAUCCUCUUUAAGAGUCCAUAUCGACAAGAGGGUUUACGACCUCGAUGUUGGAUCAGGACAUCCUAAUGGUGCAGCCGCUAUUAAGGGUUCGUUUGUUCAACGAUUAAAGUCCUACGUGAUCUGAGUUCAGACCGGAGCAAUCCAGGUCAGUUUCUAUCUGUAAUGAUACUUCUUCCCAGUACGAAAGGACAGGAAAAAGGGGGCCCAUAUUAAUAAUACGCCCUACCCCUAUUUAAUGAAGACAACUAAAUUAAAUAAAGGAGAAACAUAACACUAACAAAUCAAGAAAGAUUAUUAAGA
rnacentral:rRNA from 1 species